GUGGGGAAUAUUGGACUAUGGGCGAAAGCCUGAUCCAGCCAUGCCGCGUGUGUGAAGAAGGUCUUCGGAUUGUAAAGCACUUUAAGUUGGGAGGAAGGGCAGUAAGUUAAUACCUUGCUGUUUUGACGUUACCGACAGAAUAAGCACCGGCUAACUUCGUGCCAGCAGCCGCGGUAAUACGAAGGGUGCAAGCGUUAAUCGGAAUUACUGGGCGUAAAGCGCGCGUAGGUGGUUUUGUAAGUUGGAGGUGAAAUCCCCGGGCUCAACCUGGGAACUGCCUCCAAAACUGCAUGACUAGAGUACGGUAGAGGGUAGUGGAAUUUCCUGUGUAGCGGUGAAAUGCGUAGAUAUAGGAAGGAACACCAGUGGCGAAGGCGACUACCUGGACUGAUACUGACACUGAGGUGCGAAAGCGUGGGGAGCAAACAGGAUUAGAUACCCGUGUAGUCC
rnacentral:rRNA from 1 species